UGUGCAUCAAAGUUCCUUUUGGGGAGCGUGCAGAGCUGGCGUGAGGCUGAGACGUGGAGGAUGCAGAGAAACUACACUCAUAAGAGGCCAGGGAAAUGGUCUGAGCAGCGGGACAGGUAAGGUCUCGGUGCUGGUUGGCUCUUUGUCAACUUGACACAAGCUUGAGUCACCUCACUUGAGAAAAAUGCCUCCAUUGGAUUGGCUUGUGGGUUCUGGGAUUAUGGACUUUGAAUCUCUUCCUAUGUUCCCCUUCUCUGCAGAACCCUGGCUCUCACUACAUCUGAAAAUAUGAUGAGUGCCCACACUCAUGUGUCAGACACACAAUCCACCAAUAGUAAAAUGCACCUUCCAUUCUCUCCUGGAGACCAGGCCGGCCUUGAACCGGGAGAUCCGCCUGCCUCUGCCUCCUGAGUACUGAGACUAAAGGUGUGCGCCACCAACGCCCUGUGCUCCACACGCUUGGUGCAGCUUCCUUCCCUCACCCUACUUACUGUUCCCUGGGAGACUGG
rnacentral:lncRNA from 1 species